UUUUAAAAACAAUCGCUCUCGGUUUAAUGUACCCAAGCAGUCUCUACCGUCUAGCGUGUAACGUAACCUAUCAAAUCUACUAUCCUCGUAUUCUCUUCAGGCUUACCUUCUCGGGUUAGCAGCUACUUAGCCCUCUGAUAUCGCAGCACAUAUCCACACACACACACAGACACUCGUACACUGCCCUCCAGCUUCACGAACUACCACCAAACACCUCCAUUUGUACCAUAAAUGGACAUUUUCCCUUACGGCGAUACGUCAAAUCGACGUCAUCAUUCGUUUGGUCGAUCUGUGCUGCUUGCACACAGACGGCGGGCGCCACUGUCGUCGCACGCUGGACGUCGUUUCGUUGUAUUCAAGUAGGCUGGAUAAUUAAUUUCAAAUGCCGUUCGUUGUGUGUGCAACCACUGGCAACCGCACCGUCUACUACUUCGCACAGAGCGACAAGAUCGAACGAAGGCAAUACUGCUGUGUGUAUGCUGCUGGUGCCAGACGAAUCUCCGACACGGUCAGUGGGUUAGGAAGCGCCGCGAAACUGCGAACGAAUCAUGAAUAAAGUUCCUUCAUUCGUCGGUCCUUUCCUGUCACUGCUUUUCAACGAUGCACGACUACCCCCCCGGUCGCCCCUUGCCUCAUGGAUCAACGAGCUAGCGCCACGCUAAAUACUGUUACGGUUGGUCAACCUUCGCGAAACCCGUGUGUCGAGUUAAGAGUGUCGAGUUAAGAGUGUCGAGUUUGUUCGUGUGCAAAAUACCGCGGCUGCGGUCACUUUCGGCGCUGUACACCUGGAACGUGAUCUUCAGCGAUUAUGCCAGAAAUAGGUUUCCGAUGAAACGAUUAGCACACAUGACACCGUGUGCACGUUGGCAGUGAUUUUUUCGGAGGGGUUUCGGAUAAGUGUCCGUGGUCAAUUGGUGUGAGAAAAUUACGGUAAGGAUAAUCUUUCCCCCACGUGAAGUCCCUGUUUUUGCCUAGCUUUAUCAGAGCACAAGCCCAAUGGUAAAGCAUUCUCCUCUCGAGCUACCGUAGAAAACUUUCCUAAUCUGUGAGAAACUAGCCUAAGGUAUAGAGCACACACACCCCAAUACAUUAUUGUCGCGUGGGAAUAGGCGAUUCGUGACCGGAAAUCUGAACCACUUUUACCCACUGGCAGCCACCCAAUUCGUUUAGUCGGGGCUUUGCUCACUUCUUCGGCAUCAGCAAAACCAACGAGGAAGCUUCCUUCGUCCUCAGGUAGAUAUCAAAGGGAAGCAAACGCAAUAUGAGACGAUCUGUUAAUGGACCCCCGGUCCCCGAUAUCAAGGAACCGUAAUAAUCUCAUCUUGGCGAGAUGGCUAUCGUCGGAGCAGGUAGGACCGUAUCAUUGCGCCCCCGAAACGGUAGUAACGAUCAUCGAUUGACUCGGUACGUUACGUUUGUUUCGUCUUCCAAACACAGGUCUUAGCUCGGCAAUAAAUCAAUGAAUCAGGAUCGGAACCAUCAUUACGUCAACCCCUCAAUUACGCUAUUUUCUCUGUAUUCCCUCGCCGCUGACCACUUGGCGCCCCACCUAAUCACUAGACUAUAGAUUUAACCGAACGGUAAUCUCGAACCAUUUCAGCCAGAACAAAUACCUGUCGCAUUUAGUUGGUCUUCGUUGUUUUUCUCUUACUUCUUUAACGCCGGGUGUUGACCGGGAAAAAGGACUAUCAUAAUUUAUGGAGAUGGACACACAGAACCCGAUCUUUCCCUGUCCUAUCCUUUAUUGCAGGAUUCGACGGGCUUCUCUUUUUUUA